rnacentral:misc_RNA from 1 species
GUCGUCGUUUUUCAUUUUUCUAUAAAAGACGGACGUUUGCAUUGGGUCGAGUUUAGUCACAACUUAUCCGGCGUCACUUGCAAGUUGCCCGUCUCUUUCGCCACAUGUGUGCACAGUUUAUGCACUGCCAGAUGCGGGAUUGACGUCAUUCGCCCGUUUUUUGUUCAACCGGAUUGGAUUUCGUCCACUUUUUGAAACAAAGAAAAAUGGCUGACGGAUGGAUUCCGGCGGACAAUGGAGGAGCCCACAAGGAUCUCAGGAGGAGGAUCUCGAAUUCGGCCCAAAGUUUGAACCGAUUCGUCCGGCUGCCCAAACCCAAAAAGUGUCGAUCGUGGGGCCGUCAGUUGUUGCGACGCUGGUCCAGCAGUGGGGCCAGUCUCUUUGGAGGAUUUUUCGCUUCCACUCCGUCGGCCGGUGGAUCCUGCGGGAGUGGUGACGUGAGGAAUCCGGAUUCUCCUCCUCGGUCGCUGGACGCGGAUGUUUUCGCUUCGCUGUCGUCGGAUUACGUCCACUUUGGGACGGCCACGCCCCCUCCUAAGCCUCCGCGAGUCCGUCGGUGGUCGACAGUCAGCGAUGGAUCCUGCCCAACCGACUGUGAAGGAUCGCUCACUUCUGUGCAGUCGAGCGGAUUACUGCAAGAGGAGGAGGAGCGACGGUUGUUGUUUUUACGGUUCCAGCUGGCGGGCGCAGCUGGAUGUUGUUCCAGCGUCGAGUUGUCAGUUGGGCCGGCAGAUGGCGUCGGCCAAUCCUCAGGUACCGUCGCCGCCGACGUGGGAGAAGAAAUGGAAGGGGCGGAGUCAUUGCGGACGAGUGGCGAUGAAACGCAUUCAUCCGGUGCGGAUGAAGAAGAUGACGACGACCAGCACGACGACAGCAGCAACGGCCACGACUGGAUCGUCACGAAAAGAAAACUGUUGCGUCCAUUAUCACCGCCGCCGGCCACCACCUCUCACCACCACACCCACGGCGACUUCCGCUUGGAGGACGCCCGUCUCUUGUGGCUGGGCUGGCGACUAGGCCGUCCGGAGACGAAGCCGGUGAUAUCGGAACGAGAGCGCGGACUAUUGCAACGGGCCAACAGCCUCAAUAUCCACAUCAGUCAGCUGCAACGGAACCAACGGAUCUUGUCCAGCGAGAAUGAGCAAUUGAAACGUCAAAUGGAGAUGGAAAGAGAGCGGCCGGCCGGCCAGCUGCAACGGGAACGUGAGCGUCAGCAAGAGCUGCAACUGCUGCGCAGGAAAAAUGCCGAGCUGGCCAUGCAGACGAAGAAACUGGAAGAGAAAGUCCGCAGUCUGGAAAAGAAAUCGAAGGAGCUGCCGGCCAUCAACGGUGAGCGGACGCAGCAGGUUGUGACCAUGUCCAGGGAGCGGUUGAUUGACAACAAGUUGCAACUUCAAGUCCACCAGCAACAACAGCAGCAACAACAACAAGCGAAACAGACGACAAAUGCGUUGCGCUGGCGUGAAAAGGAAGUUGAAAUGCAAAAUCGCUUGACGGAACGGGAAAAGGAGAUUGGCCGUCUCAAGGAGAAGCUCAGGGACCUGACCAAGAAACUACAACAGGAGCAACAACAUUACAACAGCAAGGAGUCGCUGCAAACGCAACAAAACGGGGUGGAAUGGACCAUCUUGUCUCAGGGUUCCAGGGAAUUGGAAGGACUUUUGAAACUCGUCUCCAAAGAACGACUCCAGCUGGAACGCAAUUUCGUCCUGGCCACUCAGGGAUUGCAGCGAAGUGCCGAGCUUGACGUGACUCGCUACUCGGCCUUGGAGGCGACCAACGUCCAGCUCCGGCGGCAGGUGGAACAGCUGGAACUGCUGUGCAAGGAACAGGCCGAAGCGGCCCAGCAGCUCAGCAAAAGGCAACAGGAUCGAGAAGUGCUGGCCGAGCGACUUAAAGCCAAAACAGAGUACAGUCAAGACUUGGAGAAUCAGCUGAGCAAAGUUAUCGACAAGAACGCCGAAUUGACCAUUGAGAAUUGUGACCUGAAGAAACAAGCCCAGGAGCUGCACCAGUUUGAAACGGAAUGCCAGACGCUUCGUAGCUCGUUGAACACGGUGGAAAGCCAGUGCCAGGCGGCCCAGAGCGAAGUAGCCCAGCUCAAGGAGAAGAUGGCCGGCCUGGAUCAUGUCCUCAGGCAAAUGAGAGAAGCGGCCGAGAAGAAAAAGGAAUUGGAAAAACAACAUGGAGAGUCGGUCAAUGAGUUGCGGACGGCCCAGGCCCAGCUGGGAUUGCUGGCCAGCAACAAGAACACGGAAGUGGAGCGGGCACAACAUUCUCAGAACAUCGAGUCGCUUCAGUCGAGGAUUCGCGAGCUGGAAAGGAAAAUGGAAUUGCAGAACGUGAGACACGAUGAAUUGUUGCUGGAACUGGCGGCCUUGAGACGGAACCAGCACCACCACCACAGCAACAGCAGCGGAGCUGGAAGCAGCCACCACGGCAGCAGUCAGUCACUAGGAGCCACAUUCGAUUUAGAUUCAAGGGGAUCCAGCCCAGAUUCACUGAGGUAUUUAGCCAAUGGUGCUGGAUCGGUGACACGGACAACCCCUCUGGGACAGAGUGCCUCCAAUUUAGACGCUCUCCUCGAAAUGGACUUGGCCGUCUCGAAUUACAACCUGGGCAAGAGCCUUUCGCAGCCGGUGGUUUCGACGUCUUCCAUGUCGAAACUGACGGGCAUCAACAGUGGCGGAUCGUCCAGCAGCAGUAGCCAUCACCACAGCGACAUCGAGCGGAUCAUGGCCAAAAUCGAGCAGGAUAACCGAGUGCUGGCCGAGCUGGACAAAUCGCGCGCCACAAUCAGUUCUGGAUAUUCCAGUCACAACGGGGCGAGUGGAUCGGCCGGCCAGUCGAUGAGUCCGUCUCUGUACGGCAGCACAAGUUCGUCGGUGGGUUUGACGUCGACGGGUUUGACGACAUUGACCAAUACGUCGUCCAUGUUUUUCCCGGCCAGCAGCGGCAGCAACACGACGGCCGUCUCGACGGCGGCCGCCGAUUUGGCCCACACGCUGAGCUUAGGCGUUGCCCAGCAGCAGCAACAUCACAAUUCAUCGCUGGUCUCUGGUGGACUGAGAUCGACGCUGACGGCGCCCGGCAGCGGUGGCGGUGGCAGCAUGGCCUCGAUGUUGCAUCCGCCUUUGUCGCCGCUGAGUCUGCCGGCCCUGCCGCUGGACGCCCAUUCGGCCCACUCGCUCCUGCACACAGUGCCGCUGCAUUCGUUCCGCCACCCGGAGCCCGAGAGCAGCGCCGACAUGCUGGAAAUACCGGGCAAGGGCCGCUGCUACGUCUACCUGGCCAAGUACACGUACGAUCCGUUCAGCCAGUCGCCCAACGACAAUCCGGAAGCGGAAGUCUCGCUGGCCGCCGGCGAUUACGUCCUCGUCUGGGGUACAAUGGAUGAGGACGGAUUUUACGAGGGAGAAUUGCUGGACGGACGCAAAGGUUUGGUCCCAUCGAAUUUCAUCCAGCGGCUGCAGGGUGAGGAUUUGGUGGAAUUCCACCGGGCGGCCGUUCUGGGCCUGCAGAUUUGCGGUGACGACAGCAGCACGACGAGUUUACCUCGUGACCUGCUGGGCGUCAGUCCAAAUCACUUGGCCAGCGGCGUCGGCGGCGGAGUCGGCAACAGCAGCAGAGCCGGCCAUCCGUCUCAUCCGUCGAUUCAUCAACUUCCAUCGCAUCCGCAGCACCAGCAGCAGCACCAGCAACUGCAACAACAACAACACCAGCUACAGCAACAACAGCAACAACAACAAGGUCUGCCACACCAACAGCCGAUUGCGGCCAACGAGCCCAUCGAUCAAGCGCAUAUGCCAGCGGCUGGAAGCAGUCAGGUGGCCUUUCAUAGUCCGGCCAGUCGCAGUAGGGGCAUCAAUCAGUAUGACGCUGCCCGUCAGGCUCUCGACUGGGGUCUGAUGGAGUUGCAGGAAUUCCUGGAAGACGAGGAGCUGGCCCUAGGAGUCAAAGGAGAAGGACCAGACUGGCUCUUCCUUUCGCUGCUAGUCCCACCACCGCGUCAGCUGACGCUGGAACGUCAAUUGAACAAGUCGAUCCUCAUCGGCUGGAAUCAUCCGGAAGGAGCUCCGCCGGAAUCGGGACAGAUUGCCUCCUAUCAUGUCUACGUCGACGGAAUACUCCGCACCACCAUCCGGGCCGGCGACCGAUGCCGGGCCCUCAUCGAAGGCGUCGAUUCCAGCAAACCGCACCGGAUUAGCGUCCGCUCUGUGACGCUGAGACGCCGGGCCUCGCUGGACGCUGCCUGCACGAUGGUGAUUGGCAAGGAAGUUCCGUCUGCUCCGACUUGCGUCCGGGUGAGUCACGUGACGGCCACGUCGGCCCUGAUUUCCUGGCUGCCGGCCAACUCGAAUUACCAGCACGUCGUCUGCGUCAAUCACGUGGAGGUGCGGACGGUCAAGCCGGGCAUAUUCCGGCACACCAUUUCCGGCCUUUCGCCCAACACCAUCUACCGGGUGACGGUCAAGGCCAAGAACAUCCGCUCGCCGCACUUCAACACGAUGGACGAGACGACGGCCAAGUACGCCGAAAAGUAUUGCACCCACGUCGAGUUCCGCACGCUGCCCAAGGGCGUGCCCGACCCGCCCGUCGACGUCCAGGUCGAGCUGGGCCCCCAGGACGGCACCUUGCUCGUCACCUGGCUGCCCGUCACCAUCAACAGUCAGUCGGGCAAGUCGAACGGCGUCCCCGUCACGGGCUACGCCGUCUACGCCGAUGGCCGCAAGGUGACGGAAGUGGACAGCCCAACGGGCGACCACGCCUUACUGGACAUUUCCAGCUUCAUGGGCCUGCAGGCCAAGCACGUGACGGUGCGGACCAAGGCGAGAGAGAGCCAAUCGGGCGACAGCGUGCCCACCCCUGUACCCAUCGACCUCAUCAAGAACCGUGGCGGCAAUCGGAACGAUGACGUUCAAUGUCCAGUCAAUAACAACGAGAUGGUAGUAGACGAGACGGACGUAGUGGAACAUAGUUUUGGCCCGUCGGAAGACAUUGUAGGCCUGUGGAAUCUCAGUUUGCUGGCCAGCAUCAAGGACACGUUAGAGUCGGAUGAACGGCCGUCUGAACUGUCCGACAUUGCCGAAGAGCCGGAAGAGUAUCAGGACUGCAGUAGCGAUGGCGAAAUGAUGAACGAAACGAGCCGGGGCAGCAACAACAUUGGCCGGCGCAAUUUCAUGGAACAAUCCAACAACGGACGAGGCCAGCAGGGUGGCGGUGGCAUGAUCCAGCGCAAUCAGUACCUCAAUCCUUCCAUGCCCGGACCCAUCCCGUCUAUCGAAAUCACCAAGGAUACGGCCAGCGAGCGAUCGGGCGAUAGCUAUCGCGGCCGUGACGGCCAGCAGGGCAUGUACGACCGAAACAAAUCUCUGCCGGCCAACCGCAACCCGCAGAUGGUGGGCGGCCCCAGGAACGCCCAGGGACAGCAGCAGCAGCAGCAGGGACGGGACAACUAUUACGCCUCGACGACGGGCAGGAAUCAGCAGCAGCAGCAGAAUGACGGCUAUUACGAUCAGCCGGGCAACAGACGCGGACCAGUGGCUCGCGGUGGCAACGGCCGCCAGCCGCCCAUGCAGCAGCAGACGAGGAUCUUUGUCGCCCUGUUCGACUACGAUCCGCCCACCAUGUCGCCCAACCCCGACGCCUGCGACGAAGAAUUGCCCUUCCGCGAGGGCCAGCUCAUCAAAGUUCGAGGCGAUAAAGACGCUGAUGGAUUCUAUUGGGGCGAAGUGGCCGGCCGUUCUGGAUACGUUCCUUGCAACAUGGUGUCUGAAGUCCAGGUGGACGACGAGCGGGUCGCCCAGGAGCUCCUCAAAGAGUCUGGAGCCGACGGGCCGAGUCAUUCCCGUACCCGGCGCAAUUUGCGAGCUCAGGGUCAGCCGGGCCACGGUCGUGACCGCUGGGGCGACAUUUACGCCAACAUGCCGGUCAAGCGGAUGAUCGCCCUGUACGACUACGACCCGCAGGAAUUGUCGCCCAACGUGGACGCUGAAGUGGAACUUUCCUUCCAGACGGGCGACAUCAUCUACGUUUACGGUGACAUGGACGACGACGGGUUUUACCUGGGCGAGUUGCGCGGCCAGCGCGGGCUGGUCCCUUCCAAUUUCCUGACGGAAGCGCCGCCGGAUUACGACCCGUCUCAACCGCGUCACAAGCGGGGCGGCCAGCAGCAGCAACAGCAGUCGGCCAACAUGAACGACAAGUCGGGCGGAGGCGGGCAGAUGAUGCAGGAUCGCGGACGGGAUUCCAGUUAUUACGGCGGAAAUCGCAGCCGGGAACGGAUGGAUCACGAUCGAAUGGAUCCCCGGGAUGGACGGGGCAUGUCCGGUGCCGAAGGUCCCCCACCUCCUCCACGUACGACCAAUCACCGGCCGUCCGACAAUUCCCGCGAUCGUCGCAGCGACGUCUACUCGCCUGAUCGUCACGAGCCUUAUGGGGAGGUCCAUGGCGGCGGUCGGGAGAGAUGGUAACAACCCGAUCAAUAACCAACGCUUCUACGCAGAAGACUCUUUCUCCGACGUCGACGAUAGAUUUAAAGACCGGAUUCGAUGGAUUACGCCUACAACAACGGAAUGGCAGAUCCCAUGCAACAACAACUACAGGGCAUGAAUGG